UGGUGUUACUGCGAAGGGGGGACGGAGAAGGCUAUGUUAGCCGGGCGACGGUUGUCCCGGUUUAAGCAUGUAGGCGGAGGUUCCAGGUAAAUCCGGUACCUUAUUAACGCUGAGGUGUGAUGACGAGGCACUACGGUGCUGAAGUAACAAAUGCCCUGCUUCCAGGAAAAGCCUCUAAGCAUCAGGUAACAUCAAAUCGUACCCCAAACCGACACAGGUGGUCAGGUAGAGAAUACCAAGGCGCUUGAGAGAACUCGGGUGAAGGAACUA
rnacentral:rRNA from 1 species